CCCUUAGAUGGUCUGGGCGGCACGCGCGCUACAAUGAUGCAUUCAAAAAGUCUUCUGACCUUAGAAGGUUGGGUAUUCUCCAAAGUGCAUCGUGAUGGGAAUAGUUUAUUGCAAUUUUUAAUCUUGAACGAGGAAUUCCUAGUAAGUACAGGUCAUCAACUUGUGUUGAUUACGUCCCUGCCCUUUGUACACACCGCCCGUCGCUCCUACUGAUUGAGUGUCUCGGUGAAUUCUUUGAUCUUCUGUCGAUUCAGUUCACUGAUCCGACGGUGGAAAGUUGAAUGAACUUCGUCACUUAGAGGAAGGAGAAGUCGUAACA
rnacentral:rRNA from 1 species